rnacentral:rRNA from 1 species
AGUGAACGCUGGCGGUAGGCCUAACACAUGCAAGUCGAACGGCAGCACAGUAAGAGCUUGCUCUUACGGGUGGCGAGUGGCGGACGGGUGAGGAAUACAUCGGAGUCUACUUUUUCGUGGGGGAUAACGUAGGGAAACUUACGCUAAUACCGCAUACGACCUACGGGUGAAAGCAGGGGAUCUUCGGACCUUGCGCGAUUGAAUGAGCCGAUGUCGGAUUAGCUAGUUGGCGGGGUAAAGGCCCACCAAGGCGACGAUCCGUAGCUGGUCUGAGAGGAUGAUCAGCCACACUGGAACUGAGACACGGUCCAGACUCCUACGGGAGGCAGCAGUGGGGAAUAUUGGACAAUGGGCGCAAGCCUGAUCCAGCCAUACCGCGUGGAUGAAGAAGGCCUUCGGGUUGUAAAGCCCUUUUGUUGGGAAAGAAAAGCAGCAGGUUAAUACCCCGCUGUUCUGACGGUACCCAAAGAAUAAGCACCGGCUAACUUCGUG